rnacentral:other from 1 species
GGUCUGCUGCGCGGCGCGUCAGGCAGCUAAUGUCCCUGGGGCGAUAUCGAACCUCUUGGGAGCUGUCCCUGCCGGGAUCGUGGUUCCGGCACAUGGCGCCCACCUGACUAGUCAGGCCACGGAGGACUUACAACGCCAACGGCCGAUGUGGCGCCGC